rnacentral:tRNA from 1 species
UGCCCGGUUGUGUAAUGGUAGCACAGCAGAUUCUGACUCUGCUUGUCUAGGUUCGAAUCCUAGCCGGGUAA